ACGUAGGGUGCGAGCGUUAAUCGGAAUUACUGGGCGUAAAGCGUGCGCAGGCGGUUGUGUAAGACAGAUGUGAAAUGCCCGGGCUUAACCUGGGAAUUGCAUUUGUGACUGCACGGCUAGAGUGUGUCAGAGGGGGGUAGAAUUCCACGUGUAGCAGUGAAAUGCGUAGAUAUGUGGAGGAAUACCGAUGGCGAAGGCAGCCCCCUGGGAUAACACUGACGCUCAUGCACGAAAGCGUGGGGAGCAAACAG
rnacentral:rRNA from 1 species